CCUACGGGUGGCAGCAGUGGGGAAUAUUGCACAAUGGGGGAAACCCUGAUGCAGCGACGCCGCGUGAGUGAAGAAGUAUUUCGGUAUGUAAAGCUCUAUCAGCAGGGAAGAAAAUGACGGUACCUGAUUCAGAAGCCCCGGCUAACGACGUGCCAGCAGCCGCGGUAAUACGUAGGGGGCAAGCGUUAUCCGGCUUUACUGGGCGUAAAGGGAGCGUAGACGGCAGCACAAGUCUGGAGUGAAAUGCCGGGGCUUAACCCCGGAACUGCUUUGGAAACUGUGCAGCUAGAGUGCAGGAGAGGUAAGUGGAAUUCCUAGGGUAGCGGUGAAAUGCGUAGAUAUUAGGAGGAACACCAGUGGCGAAGGCGGCGUACUGGACUGUAACUGACGUUGAGGCUCGAAAGCGUGGGGAGCAAACAGGAUUAGAUACCCUUGUAGUC
rnacentral:rRNA from 1 species